CAGGAUUCCUGGGCUGGGGACAGGGAGAGGAAGAAGAGAAAGAUCCGCCAUGCUGGAAAAAGGAGAACUAAGAUGCCACACCCGAGAAGCUCAGGACAGAGAACAUAGCCGCCAUAUUGGAGGGACUCCAUCCAAUAAAGGCAAAUAAAGAGAGCCUGAAAGUAUAGCUUGGCACCUACGCAGCAAGCCACUCCUGUCUACAGUGCUCAUGAACCUUCCAGAAUCAUGGAGAAGACCUGCCGUGCAUGGCCCUUAUUGCAAACUGAAAGUGUUUCGAGGCCCAAGGUGGAAAGAAAAAAAAAAGAAGAAAGCAAACCUGGGAAACACAGAAUUCAUUCAGCCCCUUGUAGUCCCGCACUUUGGUCACAGAGGAAACAUCCCCUGACAGCCUGGUGUUCGAAUCUAAUGUGGUCAAAGCAAACUAUGGAGCCGGACCUAUGCAAAUCUCUACAGAAACUCGAGGUUUGCUUCUGCCACAUCUGGGUCUCCCGAGGUCGGAGAGGAUCGUCUUUAAUAUUCCUUGGUAGAUUCCAGGAGCAGCCCCCAUCCAUGGUUUGGAGGACUCGACCCUAUGGAGCGCCCUGGCCUGGAGGUGUGCAGGUUAGAAGGAACCCCAGCUGUGGCACCUCACUAUCCUUCUCUUUCCCGACCCGUUCAAAAAUAAAAAAAUAAACCCCAA
rnacentral:lncRNA from 1 species